rnacentral:rRNA from 1 species
UACGUAGGGGGGCAAGCGUUGUCCGGAAUCAUUGGGCGUAAAGAGCGCGUAGGCGGUCCGGUAAGUCCGCUCUGAAAGUCCGGGGCUCAACCCCGGGAGGCGGGCGGAUACUGUCGGGCUAGAGUCCGGAAGAGGCGAGUGGAAUUCCUGGUGUAGCGGUGAAAUGCGCAGAUAUCAGGAGGAACACCGAUGGCGAAGGCAGCUCGCUGGGACGGUACUGACGCUGAGGCGCGAAAGCGUGGGGAGCAAACAGG